UCGUGUAAUUUCCAGCAACCAAGAUCAAGAAAUUGCGAAUCAUUGGCUUAUGAUCAUUCAGAAGACCAGCAAUGCGUUGCUCUUCAGUCCCAUGAUGAUCUUCAAUAUCUAGUGAACUUUCUCAUUUACAACAAAUGGAAUGACCAAAGUCAUCAAUUGCCCCAGCCACAGAACUGCACUAAACUUGCCGUUUUAAGCAAUGGACGAAAGCAUAGUAAGAAAUAUCUCAAUACCAAGGUAUGUAACAUAACAUGAACAUCGCAGAUGUUUGUGCACUGAUCAUUCUUCGAAAGAGGGGUCUAUCAUCUUCUUUCAAAUUUGUGUGUGUCAGUUAGAGAAGGGGUCCCCCGUUUCUGGAAAUGAAGCUGAAUCUGAUGCUUAUCCUCACGGAAACUCCAUUUCACCAGCAGCUGCUAUUUCUAGUAAUAGACGAAUUAGAUGGACUCCACAUCUUCACAACCAAUUUCUUGAAUGUGUAAAUCGUCUGGGAGGAGCUGAAAGUAAGUUUUGGACAGAAAAUGUCACUUUCGAGUCAAUAUCCAUACAUACUUCAAUUGACGUCCAAGUCAUGAUUUAUCGGAUGUCCACAGGAGCGAAACCAAUGUUAAUUCUGAAGCUAAUGGAUGUCAAAGAGUAGACAAUCUUUCAUAUUAAGAGUCACUUGCAGAAAUGUCGCAUGGCCAAGUACAUUACAGAAUCUAAAGAAGGAAAAUCAGAGAAGAACAAUUUUGACUCAAUGCCAGUGCACGACCUCAAAACAUGCAGCUGAACGUACAAAAGCGACUACUUCAACAGUUGGAGAUGCAAAGAAGUUUACAGAUGAAGAUUGGUGAACAGGGAAGGCAGCUAAUACGCUUCUUAGAGAAGCGUCUUAAGAACAAAAGUUGAGCAUCCCUCUCAGAUCCUCCUAUAACCAAGAACUUCUAAUGUCUUAUUUGAAGUCCAAGCCAAUAUCUUCCUUUGCAUCUGCCAACCUCAGUGCUCUUAGAGUGAGAUAUGUGCCAUCCGGAUGCAAAAUAGGAGGAAGCAUUCAACUCCAGAACAUUUGGCCUUCGUCUUACGCUAUUGUGUUUUUAAAGAAAUCAGACAAAAAAUUAUUAAAAUGUUGACUAUGGAUAUUGAGCUCUAUGGUCAAAACUUACCGCUGUAAUAUUCUAUCAACUAUCGGUAAAGUUUUGGAAAUAAGAUAGUACUUUUAUGCAAUCUCACGAGGAAUUUAUUUGAUGAC